rnacentral:rRNA from 1 species
UGGGGAAUUUUGGACAAUGGGGGAAACCCUGAUCCAGCCAUCCCGCGUGUGCGAUGAAGGCCUUCGGGUUGUAAAGCACUUUUGGCAGGAAAGAAACGUCGCGGGUUAAUACCCCGCGAAACUGACGGUACCUGCAGAAUAAGCACCGGCUAACUACGUGCCAGCAGCCGCGGUAAUACGUAGGGUGCAAGCGUUAAUCGGAAUUACUGGGCGUAAAGCGUGCGCAGGCGGUUCGGAAAGAAAGAUGUGAAAUCCCAGAGCUUAACUUUGGAACUGCGUUUUUAACUACCGGGCUAGAGUGUGUCAGAGGGAGGUGGAAUUCCGCGUGUAGCAGUGAAAUGCGUAGAUAUGCGGAGGAACACCGAUGGCGAAGGCAGCCUCCUGGGAUAACACUGACGCUCAUGCACGAAAGCGUGGGGAGCAAACAGGAUUAGAUACCCUGGUAGUCCACGCCCUAAACGAUGUCAACUAGCUGUUGGGGCCUUCGGGCCUUGGUAGCGCAGCUAACGCGUGAAGUUGACCGCCUGGGGAGUACGGUCGCAAGAUU